rnacentral:rRNA from 1 species
CAGAUUUGAUCAUGGCUCAGAACGAACGCUGGCGGCAGGCUUAACACAUGCAAGUUGAACGGGAUUUGUAUGGUGCUUGCACCAUGUAAUGAGAGUAGCGCACUGGUGAGUAACACGUGGGAACAUACCUUGAAGUGGGGGACAACAGUUGGAAACGACUGCUAAUACCGCAUAAUCCCUGAGGGGGAAAGAUUUAUCGCUUUAAGAUUGGCCCGCAGAAGAUUAGGUAGUUGGU